CAACUUACACUUUCUACUCAAAAAAUCAAUCUACAAUCUCUAUUUGUUUCUUUGUGUUAUUGUGUGAUCUUUGAAAAUGGCGAAUUACCAGAACCAAUAUGGUGCAACGGCCCAAUCUACAAAUGAUUACGGGAACCCACUCACCAACUACACCGGAUCAGAGCCCCAAUCUACAAAUGAGUACGGGGCUACAGAUGAGUAUGGGAACCCAGUCACCACCUACACCAGAUCAGAGCCCCACUAUACAGAUGAGUAUGGGAACCCAGUACGCGAAAGGGGGAUGAUGGACAAGAUCAAGGAGAAGCUCCCAGGUACUCAUGACCCCUACUCAUCUCAUUCUCAGACAACCUACCCCACUGCACGUUACGGUGAAACCGGCUACACUGGAUUGGAGCAGCACCAUGGGAUGAUGAACAAGAUGCCAGGUACUGACCCCUACUCAUCUCAUUCUCAUACAACCGGCACCACUGCACCUUACGAUGGAACCGGCUACACCGGAACAGAGUACCGCCAGCACAAGGGCACGAUGGACAGGAUCAAGGAUAAGCUGACUGGGACUGGUGGACAUAGGGUGGAUGAUCCCUACUCAUCUCAUUCUCAUAAAACCGCCACCACCACACCUUACGGUGGCACCACCACCACAGCUUACGGUGACAGCACCACCACACCUUCACCUUACGGUGGCACCACCACCACACAUUCACCUUACGGUGGCACCACCACCACAGCUUACGGUGACACCACCACCACACCUUCAGCUUACGGUGGCACCACCACCACACCUUCAGCUUACGGUGGCACCGCCACCACCACCUACCCCCGUGAAAAGAAGGGCAUCAUGGACAAGAUCAAAGAGAAACUUCCUGGUGGACAUCAUUAUUAAUAAUAGGGUUAUGUAAGAGAUAGAUACGUUAGGUAUCGUUUUGUGUUCAAUGUUUUAGUAUGACGUGUAUAAUAAGCGGUG
rnacentral:lncRNA from 1 species